rnacentral:lncRNA from 1 species
UCUGUUUGUGUGUUUCCACAGGGAGAACAGCAGCCGAUUUGGAUUCCAAGAGGCUAACUAAAGUGAUUUUUACAAACGAAAAAGGAGAUGAUUUGGCUCAAAGUCCAUAACAGCUGAUAUCCAGAACUCCAGUUUAGCUAUCCUUACAUCUGUGACAAUGGUUCUCCCACACCUGGAGGCUAAUGAGUAAUGAGCAUCAUAAGGGCCUAUUUCAAAUGUAAAAAAACCUUAAGACUUACGUGUGGAAAUACCAUCAAACCCAUAUGCAAAUUACAAGAAGAAGGAUGAGAUAUCAAAAGAAGAGUUAAACCAAAGUUGUAAUUAGGAUGCUAUUCUCAAUAUCUAUUUUAUUAUGUCCUAUUUUAUUUUUUUGAGCUCAUACAGACAUAGGUAAAUGUUUUUUUGUGAUCAGUUCUAUUUUUUUUAUUAACUGUGGAGCUUUUAAACAUUGCAAUGGAGAUUUUACCUGUGAAAAACUAUAAGGCCUUUACUUUUGUAUUGUGUGUACACACUUGGGUUAUGUGUUGUAUGUGUGUAUGUGUGUAUGUCCAUAUAUAUUAUAUGAGGAGCACUCAUGAAAAAAAUGGAUCCAAAUAUAUUUUUUCUUAUUCACAUGAUUGAAACAGUUUAAUUUAAAUUAGGUAACAAAAAUAGGAGAUUAAGAGAUCUGUUUUUUUUUUUUUUUACUUUCAGCUUUCUUUUUCAUUUUAUCUAAUUCUGUUCAGAAUAAUUCUUAGUGCCUGCUGGAAAGUUAUAAAUUUUUUUUGUCAAUAUUGCCAGAAUUCCUAUCUUCAUCCCAGUGCCGGUGAAGACAAUGGUACAAGAAUUUUCAGUAUUACUGAAAAAACAAAUGCGACUUCAGAAUUACAGCCACCAUCAUCACAACUGUUGCUGUUUCUGCUGCUGCUACUAAAGCUUCUGCGAUGGCUGUCACACAAACUGUACAAACUGAUGCAUUAGUAUUUACUUCAAGAAGAAAAAGACAUAUUAAUGAAUUCCUCUGCUUUAAGCUGCUUCCAGAACUUGCCUGGACAAUGUAUCAUUUAUAUGCAUUAUGAACUGAUACAACAAAUUGUAAUUAGUACCAGAGUAUCUUUGCUGAUGGUGUCAUUGGUUGUACAAUUUUUCCAAAAGGAGCUGUCAAUUGGCUUGGUAACAUUGUGUUUUGUAUCUUCCCCCUUCUGCUUGUAGCAGGUUACUCAAAAGUAUGGCUAAUAAUGCUGGGCCAGUAGUCAAUGACAGGUAAGAUGCAAUUGCAAUGGUACCAACCUAAGACAGGAGGCUGACGCCUUGAGGACAGAUCAUCUGAUGAUGGGUAAGGAUCAUAUGUAGUAUUGGAAAACCUAAGACAGGCACAGUCCCUAAGCCACAUACUUGUUGUUUAUAUUAAACAAAAGGGGAGAUGAAGAGGCCUCAAUCAAGUUAAGAUGGCGCCUGGCAGUAUGCUAGGAGGAGUGGUUUCUGAGCC